rnacentral:rRNA from 1 species
AACGAACGCUGGCGGCGUGCCUAACACAUGCAAGUCGAGCGAGAAAGCCCGCAAGGGUGAGUACAGCGGCGCAUGGGUGCGUAACACGUGAGUAAUCUGCCCUGGAGCCCGGAAUAACCUCCCGAAAGGGAAGCUAAUGCCGGAUGAGCCCACGGGGUCUUCGGACCCAGAGGGAAAAGGCGGCCUCUGUAUACAAGCUGUCACUUCAGAACGAGCUCGCGGCCCAUCAGCUAGUUGGCGGGGUAAUGGCCCACCAAGGCUACGACGGGUAGCUGGUCUGAGAGGACGAUCAGCCACACUGGAACUGAGACACGGUCCAGACUCCUACGGGAGGCAGCAGUGGGGAAUCUUGCGCAAUGGGCGAAAGCCUGACGCAGCAACGCCGCGUGUGUGAUGAAGGUCUUCGGAUCGUAAAGCACUGUCGCGAGGGACGAAUAAGGCGCACGCUAACAUCGUGCGACGAUGACGGUACCUCGAGAGGAAGCACCGGCUAACUCUGUGCCAGCCGCCGCCGUAACAC